CAAACGUAUACAAAGUGUUCUAUUCUAUAUAUAAUAUAUUAUUAAUAAAAUAAUUAUUGAAUUUAGUAAUAAAGAAUAUGGAAAUAUCAGCAGCACUUUUGAAAUAACAAUACUUCUCGCCAUUUUAAUAAAGAAGCGCCAUUAAGGUGGGGUGAGCUAAAACGGCAAAUCAAAUUCAUUUUUUAAAAAGUAAUGUUGCCAUUUUUAGCGAUUUUUCCAAAAAACGCUAAAAUGUCAACAUCACUUAUUAAAAGUUUUUCUUUUCUUUUUUGCUAAAUUAUCAUUCCCAGAAGCUGUGUAGAUUGAAAAAUUUACAAUUUGUUUAUGAAUUAAAAUUUGGCUCUUUGUAAUCCUUUUCAUUUGUUUAUUGUUUACUUUGCUUUUUAACCACUGGUUGAAAGGCAAAGUAAACAAUAAAUAAAUUGGAUUAGCUGUGAAGAUUAAGAAUGACAAUUGAUGAAUCCUGAAAAUACUAGAGAAGUGGAUCCGGAAUCCAGAGGUUUCUAAGCGGAGGCAUAUUCCAAUGAUCAUCAUAUUCCGCACAUCUGGUCAGAUCAAGCAUAUAGAUUAAACACUAAUAAAAAUUCAGAAGUGUAAAACAUUCGCUUACCAUCACAACAGAGUUUUAUGUAAUGACUGAAUGGCCAUGGUGGAAGCAGUUUGUGUUUCUAUCAUGGUGGAUCCGAAUCCGAUUCCUGGAUCCUAUAUCUCCAAAGAUUUUUCAAGAGGAUCUAGGCCCGAUUCAGUUGAACUCCAUUCUCCACCUGAUAGUUAGUCUCAUCAAAGAUAUGGCAGCCUAUAUGGUAAUAAGAAGCGAGCAUUUCAGCAUUUCGGAAUGGUGGGCUGCAUAAUAUUUAAUGAUGGAAAAUGGCGUAAGCCAUAUACAUAAAAAGCACUUUUUCCUUUAUUAACAUGUUUAAUUUCGAAUAUAUUAAUGAAAAUGUGUUAGUGACUGAAAGAAAAUCACAAGAUAUUGUACAAACAAUAUAUUAUUUAUAAAUCGUUAACUCAAAAAUAACUCGAAUAUUAAUACGAAGCACUUUCAAGAUAAACUACAAAAUAAAUUCAAUAACUUAAAAUUACUAAUGUAGAAUAUUAGAAAAAAUAAAUUAAAUGUUUCGAGC
rnacentral:lncRNA from 1 species